rnacentral:rRNA from 1 species
UACGUAGGGUGCAAGCGUUAAUCGGAAUUACUGGGCGUAAAGCGUGCGCAGGCGGUUGUGUAAGUCAGAUGUGAAAUCCCCGGGCUCAACCUGGGAAUUGCAUUUGAGACUGCACGGCUAGAGUGUGUCAGAGGGGGGUAGAAUUCCACGUGUAGCAGUGAAAUGCGUAGAGAUGUGGAGGAACACCGAUGGCGAAGGCAGCCCCCUGGGUCAAGACUGACGCUCAUGCACGAAAGCGUGGGGAGCAAACAGG